GGGGGUGUAGCUUAGCCAGGUCAGAGCGCCCGGCUCAUAACCGGGCGGCCAUGGGUUCGAAUCCCUUCACCCCCA
rnacentral:tRNA from 4 species